rnacentral:rRNA from 1 species
GAACGCUGGCGGCAGGCCUAACACAUGCAAGUCGAGCGGCAGCGGAAAGUAGCUUGCACUUGCCGGCGAGCGGCGGACGGGUGAGUAAUGUCUGGGAAACUGCCUGAUGGAGGGGGAUAACUACUGGAAACGGUAGCUAAUACCGCAUAACGUCGCAAGACCAAAGAGGGGGACCUUCGGGCCUCUUGCCAUCAGAUGUGCCCAGAUGGGAUUAGCUAGUAGGUGGGGUAAUGGCUCACCUAGGCGACGAUCCCUAGCUGGUCUGAGAGGAUGACCAGCCACACUGGAACUGAGACACGGUCCAGACUCCUACGGGAGGCAGCAGUGGGGAAUAUUGCACAAUGGGCGCAAGCCUGAUGCAGCCAUGCCGCGUGUAUGAAGAAGGCCUUCGGGUUGUAAAGUACUUUCAGCGGGGAGGAAGGUGUUGAGGUUAAUAACCUCAGCAAUUGACGUUACCCGCAGAAGAAGCACCGGCUAACUCCGUGCCAGCAGCAGC